rnacentral:rRNA from 1 species
UACAGAGGUCUCAAGCGUUGUUCGGAUUCAUUGGGCGUAAAGGGUGCGUAGGCGGCGCGGUAAGUCGGGUGUGAAAUCUCGGAGCUUAACUCCGAAACUGCAUUCGAUACUGCCGUGCUUGAGGACUGGAGAGGAGAAUGGAAUUCCUGGUGUAGCGGUGAAAUGCGCAGAUAUCAGGAAGAACACCUAUGGCGAAGGCAGCUCUCUGGGACGGUACUGACGCUGAGACGCGAAAGCGUGGGGAGCGAACAGG